rnacentral:rRNA from 1 species
GACUUGAGUGGGGCUAUAUUAGGUAGGUCGGGGCUGGUGUGAUCGGAGUUGGGUGAGGGGCGCGCCGCCGUGGUUGGUUUCGGGGCGGCCGCGGCCGGACGGGUGUAGACGUGGCGGCGGACGUAGGGCGGAUUGCGGUGGGGGUCGCUCGGUGGUGGGGAGGGACAGGGCGUGGGUUUUGGGGUCGCUGCGCGCGGCGGCGCCGCGGCGGGUGGUGGUCAUAGGGCGCGACGGUAGCGGCUGGUGAUCCUGGAGAGCGGCGGCGGGUGGUGGUGGACCUACAGGGGGAGACGCGUGCCUAGGCCAGAACGGGCUCGAGGGGGACCCUGCCUACUUGUGUCCCGUCUCCGUGGACACGACCCUCCUCGUCUUAUCCCCGCGGCUGUGGUCCUUAUCGUUCAGCACGGAGUGGGCCGGUGGAGGAGCGAAGAGGGAGGCGGCCUCGCACGGCUGCGGGGCAUAGGGUGGCGGCCACGGCGAGGAGUUGAGACCGCUGCGGUUCUCGGACGUGGUGGAACCCAGAAAUGGGUGCGUCGGUCACCGCCGAAGGAGAAGGAGGUCGGCGAGCGCGAGGAGGCACCUCCUGAGGGCAACAGCGGAGACAUUGGGGACGGAUUCGUAGGUAGCGUGCACUGGAAGAGACCGCACAGACUAGCUGGAAGGGUAGCAGAGAACGAACUUGCAGACUUAACGACGACGAGGAGGUACAUUUAGACGACGAUCUACUUCUGGUACAUUUAGACUUGCAAGAUUUAGGCGACGUGAUGAUCCCAACGAGACACAACACGGGAAAACAACCCACUUCGAUAAGAAUAGACGAUCGAAACUGUAUCCGACCAUGUAGUAAACCUCGAACCUUAGCUAAAGUAGUAGUCCAAUUUUUUUCUCAAAAACCACCGAGUCAAGUUGUAUAAGUGAACGUGACCUUUAUGUCCCCUGAUCACUAAACACCUUAAACUCGAUGUCUCUUAACUCGGGGGUGUGUGGCGGCGGGGUAGGUGGUAGCGCUGUUCGUAGGGACCCUAACGGUGCUGGAGCGUGUACGGUACCCACACCGGGAUCUACUCUACGUCGAGGGGAAGCGGGCCGAGGUAGAGGGGUGGCAACAGUACUGUGUACUCAAGUCUACAAUUGAUCUUACGAUCUCUGCCUUACGAUCUCUGCCUAAAGAUCCUCGUUGUUGUCCCCGUGGCAACCUACCGUCGUCGCAAGUACGUCGGUGUCGUCUCACGGUCCCUCAACGUUUUUAGGUCUAGGACCCAUGAGGUACACCGGGCAACAUCAGGCCUAACCCCACGUCCGCGGCAGGUUCAGGGUUAAGGGGCUACUACUGGGUUGUGGUAGAGUCAGGUCGUGGCAUCGUGGUCCCUCCAGCUCCGGUAGCGCUCGUCUUCAGGGGUCGUCUUCCACUCCCACUGUUUAAAACAGAAUACAUAAACAACACAGAGAGGAAAAAGAUGGUCAGAUGGUCCUUCUGAUGAAGCACUUGGUGUACUUCUCACCACACGUCCCCUUUGUUCUUAAUGCUGUGGAGGUAGGGUACGCUCGUCAUACUUUCUGUCCCUUCAAGUAGGACCGUCUGAUACAUCGAGUCACACAUACAAUUUACUUCCUUUUUCUUUAUCGUCCACAGGUCGUCGUAGUCACACACCGAGGGGAUAUUAAGAAGAGAGACACGCACACGUGUGCGCGACGUGUACUCCUAUUCAUGCUCUAUUUUACCUCCGCAGGCCCGGUCCUGGACCGCCUCAUCUAACCGGCCUCAUCAGCCCGUACCGGUACCGUAGGCUGGCGUCUGCUGCUGCUUAGGCGUUGCAACAUCGAACGACGGCAGCCCACGCACGUAAGGCAACCACACAGCGCACUCACCAGUCACACACGCAACACGAUCAUCAUACAGGGUACUCACCACUCACACACGCUACACGAUCAUCAUACACGACUACACGUCCCACGUACGUACAUACUCACGUGUACGCACAACAGUGUGUGCUUGAGUUUUUACAAAGUCUAACACAUCGGUUGAGCACACGUGGUGUCGACAAGCACAAAUACUGGGUUUUCCUCUUAUAAUGUAAAUAUGAUUCGUUCUUUUUUUAUGUCUCUGUAAAAUAGUCC